rnacentral:tRNA from 1 species
GGCAGCUUUGGCGAGAGGUGACCGCUGAACUGAAGGCGUUGCGUUGACAUAUGGUUGCGGAUCAGACGACUAAGUUGAUUUUUUAGGUAAUUUGUAAUCAUCAGGUGGCGGGUUCGAGUCCUGCAGCCGGCACCA